GUCUAUAGGGAUACAUGUUUGCAAUUGUCAAUGGGGAAGUGUAUACGGAUAAAUUUUAGUUAUGAAAAAAAGAAGAUUUGUUAAUGAUAUCAACUCUUAUUCAACUUUACUUAAAAAUUUCGUCAAUAACCGUUGGAGGUAGCCGUUGAUGCGUGUAAAGCUUCCAAAACGUCAUAUAAAACGAAUAAGCCUAAUGCUUAAAACAGGAAAUUAAAAAAGGUUAUUUUCUGUGUUUUUGUAUUGAUUGGUCGCCGGUCAUACGAGUUCGUUAUUUUAGAAUUUAAUUUCUGUGAAAACGAUUUAUAUACACGCUGUGGUAGUAAAUAAGCAUGUGAGAAUUUACGGGCAUAUUGUGAAUAAUAGUUUUAAUUAUUCAUAAGUGCCUUAACACGACAUUAUUUGACUAUUUUAAAUUUAAGUGAUAUAAAAUGGAAGUACAAAGCAUAAUUCACACGAUUUUACUAACAAAUAUAAGUCGCAAUAACGAAAUUAACACAAUUUAAAUUUAACUGAUGUAAAAUGAAAGUUCAAAGCGUAAUUCACACGAUUUAAAACAAACAUUAAUGAAUAAAAGUAGGCCGAAAUGAUAUCUCGGCCGAAUCGACCCGACACCAAUAAUUUUAUCGGUGAUAAUGCAGGGUACUUGUCUAAAUAAUUUACGCAUGCCGGAGACGAUCGAGUAACUACGAUCUAAAAAGUUGAUUAAACUGUCAUAGUUCGGCUAUGUCCGUGUUUAUAGCGUUCUCCUACAUCUUUUUGCGGGGAAAGAAAACGCGAAAACUGAUAAUGGUAAGAGGUGUUGUACCGCUAUGGCUCUGGUUGCAUUAUUAGCCUGUUUUAGUUACGAACACAACCACAUGUCCUCAUUAACGGCUGUCGAUGUAGACUGUAUACUGAAUGAGGGAAAUGCUUUGUAUUCUAUCAUAGUUGAAAGUAUAAACGAGGCUCGAUAUUUAUCGCAUAAUGAUUUGCCAACAUCCGUUAGGUUUAGAAAUGAUUUAUUUUGUCCGCAAUAUAUGCUUAAUGUUUACUAUGGUAACGUAAACGGUGAUAAUGACGUCCAUUUGGGUCAAUCCCCAUGUUUCAUGAACAUAAAUAGAUAUAUAUUAAUAUUCAAUAAAACCCAUUCAGCCGAGUCUUUGAUGCCUAACAUCAACAUUCGUCUUGUUAUCCCUUGUAUCUAUUCUUAAGUAAACGUGGAAGGAUAAGUGCGUUGGUAGUGGAUUCGCCGGAUCACUUGCAAAACGCCCAAACCAACUGAAAAACCGGGUGACUGGUUCUUCCCAACAAAUAAAUUAUACAACCCUAUUAACCUUUUAGGCCGACAGAGGCACUCCUGCCGUUUACUGCUGCCACCAUUAAAAUAAACCAUAGAGGAAAGUGCCCGGAGUUGGGAUUGAACCCACAACUGCCGAAACACUAGCACAGCGCUCAUACAAACUGAGCUAACAGGGCAGCUGGUUAUUACCCACACACACUACCAUGCAUUAGACAGGUUGUUUCCAAAUUCUAUUUUAACUUGGAAUAUCAAGAUUUGUUUCAGCAAAACGUAAAAGUAGCCUGAUCGUGCUCGGAGUGUUCGAACUAUCCUGUUACCUUGACAACCAGUCAUACCCCCAUGCGAAAAUCGCCCUGUUCAACUACCUACGUAAAGACGACGGAUAUUGACAGAAAUGACGACAGUAUCAGUAUCUAGCAUAGCAAUGUGUACCUGAACAGAAAUAACUAAAUAUUCAAGGAACCCAACAGAGGACAAACAUCAAUGUUUCACCUUAAAGACCACAGGAACAUUGAAUGAAGAGGAUAAAGUUCCAAAAAAAGAAAACGGAGGGAUUUCUUUGAAACAAAAUUAAAUGCGUCGAUGAUGACGAAUGGAUGUGGAUAAUGUUAGGAUUAUCUCAUGCGCGGUUCUGUAAGGCCCGGGGGAUGAUGACGAACCAGCCAGAUAUUAAAUUGGUGUACCGCAACGUCUGAUUCUGGUGUGCCAAUAAGUUUAUCCACAAAGCAGUCAAGCAACGUGAGACGACGACAUGCAGCUAUGAAUCAGAUACUUCAGGUGGAUGAAGAUGUUAGUCACUCCUAGAACUUGCAUAGUGGACUUGCCAGGUAAAUGGGCUUCCUUUUAGACAUCAUCGAAAUGUAAAGGUAAAUGUAACUUGAUAUAAUUCUUUAAGUGCAUAAGGAAAAAAUGGCUGUUAUAUAUUUGACCGAAAUGGCUAUUGCUGCUUUGUAUGCAUUUCACAAAAUCUAAAACUUGUUAUCUACUCUGUCUGGGCAUAAAUGUUACUAAAAUGCUGUCACAACAGUAAGAAAAUGGUCAAGUAUCAAUAUGGUUUUAAAGUUGAAUCAAAGACAGGAGCGUUUUGUUUGCAUAAGGCUUAACAUAAGAACGCAAAUUUAAACAUUUAAAGUUACCAGUAUAAAUAUGUAAACUAUCAUAGCCCUUGGAAGUCUGUAAAUUAGUUAAUUUAUUGCGAUCACAUGUUGUGUAUUUGAUUUUUCAUCAGCUGCCAGUUCCUUGUGUUAUUAAAUAGGGACAGUUUACAACUUUAAAUCCCGAUUAGUUUUGGUAUGAGGCGUAUAAUAAAACUGACUAUGACCUCAGGCUAGUGAUACAAGUAAUAUCUGAGAGAAAAUGUAUUAUAAACCUUUCACCAAAGGAUUUGACAUUUGUUUUAUCUGAGUUAAUGUAAUAUUUUCUGAGAUAUUAAACUGAAAGAAACAACACAAAUUGCUUAUCUUAAGUACACUUUAUUUCAAAGCAAUCAUUCAUUUCUUCAUUCUUUUUCCGUUGUUGGGGAUGACACGAGAGUUGCAUAAAACUGUACUCGGUUCGAUUGUCCGACAGAUGUCUGCGUACACAGGACCUAUACAACUUUACAGAAGAAAGAAGUAUAACUGAUGCAUUUAUAUGACAUGGAGAUACGUGCGUCCGUGUCAAAUUACGUUGGUCAAUUGCGGAAAAGGCAAUUGCUAUGGCAUUCUAUCAAUGGACGUUAGUUAGCUCACGACGAAGAGGGUCGAAGGAUCCUUCUCACGUGACAAUCUAUUAUCUAUCGAUAUAACGAGUUGGUAACGGACACAUCGCCACCCACGGAGGGAAAAACAAUGAGCUAGUCGUUUCAAUGUUUGAAAUUACAGGGAAAACAUGCAUGGUUACACCCCGCGUUUUGAAAUGCAGAUGGACCUUGGUUAUUAAGCUGACAUAUACACGAUUCAAAGCAGCAUUUAUUGAGGAGUUGUCAAGGCCAUUGAUGCCACGGGACAUAAAAGUGAUAUUAUGGUAACACCAGGGGUAAUCAUCGAUCCUCUUCCACCCAAAGGCUACGAUUGUAAUCUAUUGUAACCGAUUUGAACAAGUUAAGGUCAUUGCAUUGUUAGAUAAUUUGAAGGAUAAUCGGACGAAGGCAAUUGUUGCAAGUUAGACAAAGAUGCAUUUGAUAGAAUGAGAGGAUUUAUCGAAAAUACUUUUGUAGACUCAGUUAUUCUUCAAAUCAAUCGUUUCAUGACCAGAGUCCAAACUGCUCUAAAUUAUAAACACAUUACUGCAAAUGAUAAUACUAAUUUCAAAAAAACAUCUUAGAAACAAUUUAUUGACAAAACAAAUGUGCGUCUUUUAUUGUAAACAAGCAAAGCUUUUCGUGUUCAGCAAAUAAGACUGGAUAAAUGUUCACUUGAAGACAGUGGCAACUGCUAGAGGACUUACAUUACACAAUACAGAAACAUCAAACGUACACAUCAGGGCUACAUACAAUGGACAACAUAGCCUCCCUAUUCACCAUCAUCCAUCCUCCUGCCUUGUCAGGGGAAACAUGAGUGCCCGGAGAAAACCCACUUGUGCACUUGUUCGGCUUGGUGACCACUAAACAAAUUCGCCUUGGUGAGAAGCGAGUGCGCUAAACACUGCGCUAACCGGGAAAUCAAACAUGUUCAAAGAUAGCAUUAUAUAAUCAUGGAAUUCCAAUGCUUGCAUCUAGUAACAAACAUUCCAUACACUUCCGGGAAUUCCAGUUUUGCAUAGCCCCGUUGUGGGAUCAAAAAAAGGAUUCACCGAUUCUUGACUUCUACUAUUACACCGCACAUAUGUAUGACAUUUUGGCUCCGUCAUCUACGAUAAUUUCUCCGAAGAUAUCAGAGUUAUUCCUUACUAUAACAUGAUUGUACAUAUCCAGUACGGAUUUAGAGUGCUCACAGGACAAUAUUCACAAUGUAAUAAUUUACUUGUUCUAUGUCUUUGGCGUUUACCCAGUGUCAUUAAACCAGGUUUAUGUUUGAACCUUUUGCUACUGAGCUUGUUUCUAUAGUUUUUGAAAUAGGUAUUGGUAGUGGAAAAGCGUAACUGUUGCAAAUCUGUUGUUUUUUAUAGUUCAUUAUUUAGCUUUCAAUAUAUUCAUAGCUGUGCCUUACUGUAGUUUGAUGUUUUAUCUUAAUUUUGUUCUUGAAAUUUAUUUAUUUUUGAUAUCAUGUAUCAUUUAAACGUCAACUGUCGUUCGUGUAUUUGCUGUAUAAUCAUCUAUGCUAGUGUUUAUAGUUCUUUUGGCUUAGAUUUCCAUUGAUUUACUUUUUAUAUGGUCGCGUUGCUGUCUGUUUUUAAACAACGUUGAAACAAGUUUGAUUGUCGUUUCCUUUAAACCUAAUAAAUAUCUGUGUGUG